CUCUUAUCCUUCUUCUUUCUCCUUUCUCCUUUCUCCUUCUCCUUCUCGUUUCUCUCUUCUUCUCUUCUUCCUGUUCUCGCCUGCGAGAGAGCGCUGAGAGUGGUGAGUGGGAAUUGAUUGAUGAAAAUCAGGUAGUGAUGCUAUACAGAUGUUGAAGCUGGUGGUGCUACUGUGAAUUAGGAAGAAAAUAAUUAGGAAUCGAAAAUAUAAAUCAGUUAGGGUUUGUAAUACUCGUUAAUUGAAUUCAUAUGGUAUUGAUAGGGUACUUAGGUUGCUGAUAGAGAAGGAUCACAAGGAUUGUGGUUGAAUUGAAGCUUAGCAGUUGUCUCAGUGUUGAAUCGAAGAAUUAGGGUUUCAUAUGAUAAUACUCAAAAGAGGUUUAGAAGAUUAAAUUGAGGUUUUCAGGGAUGGAUUGGAGAUGGGUAUGAUGGUAUGAAGAUUAUAGUUAUGUAUUGAACCUGAAUUGGGAAAUAUAGGUGAUUAUGAAUAAACUAGGGUUGCAGAGAAUCUGUAGUGGUGAUGGGGAUGUUGGAUGCUGAAGGAAAUUACUUGAGGAUGCAGUAAGGAGCUGGGAGUGAUGAUUAUGCUGAAGGGAUGUUGAUAAUGCGUACUGAAUGAAUUUAAGGAUGUAGAUGCAUUAGUAACGCAAUCUUAAUGUGCAGGUAGAGUGGGUAUGGAAAUGAAGUUGAGUGUAGUUGUGGUGGUAGUCUGAGAUAAUGGAUCAUUGUGACAGCUGAGUUGUUGUGAAUGCAUAGGUGAAUGAGAUGAUGCUGGUGGUCAAGGUUUGAUAAAAUACAAGAUUCUGGAGAUGCUAAUACAAUUGAGAUUGAUACAAAUUGGGUGGAUAUGCAUUUUGAGUUAUGCUCAGCUGACAUUGGUGGUGUUUGUAAUGAAAUGAAAUACAAGUGUAAGUAAGGUAUUUAGUGGUUGUGUUGAUCUGAACUCGAGUGUGCUUGUGAUAUGUAGAGCAGAAGCUGAUUGUAAUUCUGUUAGCAGUGACAUUAGUAAAAGCCUGCAAUGCAGAGUAAAGUAAACUCAAUUUACUUUUGUAAUUAAGAUUUGAAGUCUAUUUAAGUUAAGUGUUUGAGUUGCUCUUGUUUUGUUAAUAAAAGUGUUAAACCAAUGGUUUAGACUA